CUUAAUAAUGUUGCAUGGACAUUAAUGGAAUUAACUAUAACAUGAUUCUUGGCAUGCGUUCUCAAGCAAAAUUAACUUUCAAAAUUGCCCAUCGUAAUGUUUCAGACAAACAUUCUCUGAAUCAUAUAUAAUAAGAAACUAUUGUUUAAGAUUAAUGCUUAUUUUUUUAAUAUUUACCAUCCAUAUGUCGUUGGCUAAUAUAAACUAAUCAAAAUUUAUAUUUUAAAGUGGAGAGAGAGAGAGAGAGAGAGAGAGAGAGAGAGAGAGAGAGAGAGAGAGAGAGAGAGAGAGAGAGUACAUGUCACGGCAAGGAAAGUUUCUUCAAAGUCGACGAAAGUGAUGACUUUUGCACCACAUGUAGCACACUAUCCAUUAAGUUAUAUUAACUGAGGAUAGGCAAUCAAGACGGCUUGCACGGCAAGUUGUCAGAGUUUGAUCUAUUCCGAGCACAGAUCGAUGGGUCUGAAUUCCUUCUUCCAUUUCAUAACAAUUUUCAUAUUAAUCGCAGCGGCAAUAUUGGCCAUGCAUCCGUAUCAGAUCUCUGCAGAUAUGAACGCAAGAAAGCUUGGCAGAGCCAAACCAAGUCCUCCCCCGGCACCGGCUGCGAACAAGGGUAGGGUCCCAAAUCCACCACCUUCCUUUUCUACCCAUGCCGGUAAAAGUGGGAAGACAUAGGAGCGUUACUAUUCCUGAAUUUUGAGGGGGAUCAGAGUGAUAAUCAAUAUUGUAAGGGUUCCUUAUAUAUACACAACUAAAACAACAAGAGGGGAUUUCAGUUUCUACAUGCUAUUUAUUUUCCUGGGGAUCAUUGUAAUAGUUGGGUGUUUUUUCUUUACACUACAUGAUAUAUAUGCUGCAGUUGGAAGGGAUGAUAAUGGAUAUAUAUAGUUUAUUCUAAGUUCAUAAA